AUUGAACGCUGGCGGCAAGCCUAACACAUGCAAGUCGAACGAGUGGCGGACGGGUGAGUAAUGUCUGGGAAACUGCCUGAUGGAGGGGGAUAACUACUGGAAACGGUAGCUAAUACCGCAUACCAUCGGAUGUGCCACGAUGGGAUUAGCUAGUAGGUGGGGUAAAGGCUCACCUGGGCGACGAUCCCUAGCAGGUCUGAGAGGAGGACAGUCCACACUGGAACUGAGACACGGUCCAGACUCCUACGGUAGGCAGCAGGGGGGAAUAUUGCACAAUGGGCGCAAGCCUGAUUCAGCCAUGCCGCGUGUAUGAAGAAGGCCUUCGGGUUGUAAAGUACUUUCAGCGGGGAGGCGUUACCCGCAGAAGAAGCACCGGCUAACUCCGUGCCAGCAGCCGCGGUAAUAC
rnacentral:rRNA from 1 species